rnacentral:rRNA from 1 species
UGGGGAGUAUUGCAUCAAUGGGGAAAGGACCCUGAUGCAGCAACGCCGCGUGAAGGAAGAAGGUCUUCGGAUUGUAAACUUCUGUCCUCAGGGAAGAUAAUGACGGUACCUGAGGAGGAAGCUCCGGCUAACUACGUGCCAGCAGCCGCGGUAAUACGUAGGGAGCGAGCGUUGUCCGGAUUUACUGGGUGUAAAGGGUGCGUAGGCGGAUCUGCAAGUCAGUAGUGAAAUCCCAGGGCUUAACCCUGGAACUGCUAUUGAAACUGUGGGUCUUGAGUGAGGUAGAGGCAGGCGGAAUUCCCGGUGUAGCGGUGAAAUGCGUAGAGAUCGGGAGGAACACCAGUGGCGAAGGCGGCCUGCUGGGCCUUAACUGACGCUGAGGCACGAAAGCAUGGGUAGCAAACAGGAUUAGAUACCC